AUUGAACGCUGGCGGCAUGCUUUACACAUGCAAGUCGAACGGUAACAGGCCGCAAGGUGCUGACGAGUGGCGAACGGGUGAGUAAUGCAUCGGAACGUGCCCAGUCGUGGGGGAUAACGCAGCGAAAGCUGUGCUAAUACCGCAUACGAUCUGUGGAUGAAAGCGGGGGACCGUAAGGCCUCGCGCGAUUGGAGCGGCCGAUGUCAGAUUAGGUAGUUGGUGGGGUAAAGGCUCACCAAGCCGACGAUCUGUAGCUGGUCUGAGAGGACGACCAGCCGCACUGGGACUGAGACACGGCCCAGACUCCUACGGGAGGCAGCAGUGGGGAAUUUUGGACAAUGGGCGCAAGCCUGAUCCAGCAAUGCCGCGUGCAGGAAGAAGGCCUUCGGGUUGUAAACUGCUUUUGUACGGAGCGAAAAGGCUCUCUCUAAUACAGGGGGCUCAUGACGGUACCGUAAGAAUAAGCACCGGCUAACUACGUGCCAGCAGCCGCCGCAG
rnacentral:rRNA from 1 species